ensembl:lncRNA
CCCUACUCUCUGUGCCUUUUAUUCUGUAACAGCUACAAGCAAAUAUCUGUAGGCCUAACACAUGUUAAAAAAGUCAAAACAUGUUUGUUUUUUUAUUUUGAGGAGCUUUUAAAUUACAGCUGUGCAGAAAAUGUGCUGUCUGUCACGGACCCGGCUCUGGAGGACUCGGGGGUCCGUGAGCAGUUAUGGACUGUUGUUAUUAUUAUUAUUAUUAAGGGGCUGUGUCGUCUACUGUUCGGUCCACAGUUGAAUGUGUAGUGUGUGUUUGCGUGUGGGUUUGCUUCUCCCUCUCUCUCCCCAGUCCUCGGGCUGUUUACAGAAGUGCACGCCGUGGGAGAGGCGUGUCCUGGCGACUGUCGUCAUUGGGAGUCCCUCUUCACUGUUACCGGCCCACCUGCAGCUGAUUACCUGACCAGCUGUUGGUAAUCAUCCAUCCCGGCUGGAGAGAGGUAUUUAACCUGGACUCGCGGCGACAGUCGACGUGGGAUUAUUACUCCGAACUGGAUAGCCGAGCGGAGAAGCGAGUUGGGGAGCACACGCACUAAGGGAGCUAUAGCACGGGACGCACUGGGAGCAGGAGACGAGCACCAUUGGCAAAUUGCACCUUUGGGUUAAUUGUUGGACUUACCUGUCUGUUCACUGUAAAUAAAGUGCACUGUGGCAUCGAAGAGUCCCGCGUUUUGGGUCCUACUUUCCUCGUCCCCACGGUCUGCGUGGCAGACCGUGACAGAAUAAUCCCACCAACCACCAUGGACCCAGCAGACUCAAGAGUUGCCACGGAGGAGGGAUCGCUCACACAGCUGUGGGGUUACUGCCAGAGCGUAACCCAGGCUGUGGAUCCACACAUGAGACACAUACAGGUAGUGUUUUUUGAUAAUUAUCUUUCCUCCACUACCUUCUCUACGAGCUUUCUGGAUAUUGACAAACUCAUUCAAAUUGUAACUGAGCUGCGGGCAAGCUCCAGCUUCGAACUGUUUGGUUUGGGCUGUCCGGGCAAGGAGGAUGCGGCUGCCUCCCUGGCAGCCCUUGCUGCUUGGUGUUUUCUUCAUAGGCGGAGAGUUUUUCCACCGCCGCUUGCUGCUCACCUAUUGGACCCUCCACUGCAGGGAAGACGGCGCCCUACUCCAUCUCCUCUCAUUCCUUCGAUGUCCUCUGUGUCGGCAGACAAAGGAUCGGCAGCGCUGGUAAGCACAGUGAGUAAACCGGACUCUGUCACCUUACUUAAUCCAGUCUCUCACGAGCAGGAGGGGACAGAUUCCUUUGACGCGGCCCCGCCAUCACGAAAGAGACGGCGUCGGCGUCGUCUUCAUCAAACCGAAGCUCACCUCACUCCGGUUGUUUCGGAAGAACCAGCUGACUCAGGGCUAGCCGCGGGACUAGCCGCACAAGGAGCCGCACAUCCACAUCACCCGCUCGACCAUCAUCUUCGCCACCUGCAGCUACCGCAUCACCAUCUUCACCUCCGGAUCAACCAUCUAUAGCCGCUCCGCAGCCAGAGGAGGAGCUCAGCGAGCGGGGGGAGCCCGCGUCGCAGCCGGAGGAGGAGCUCAGCGAGCGGGGGGAGCCCGCGUCGCAGCCGGAGGAGGAGCUCAGCGAGCGGGGGGAGCCCGCGUCGCAGCCGGAGGAGGAGCUCAGCGAGCGGGGGGAGCCCGCGUCGCCAGCUGUGGAGCGCGUCGCAGCCGGAGGAGGAGCUCAGCGAGCGGGGGGAGCCCGCGUCGCCAGCUGUGGAGCGCGUCGCAGCCGGAGGAGGAGCUCAGCGAGCGGGGGGAGCCCGCCUCGCCGACUGUGGAGCUCAGCGAGCCGGGGGAGCUCAGCGAGCCGGGGGAGCUCAGCGAGCGGGGGGAGCCCGCGUCGCAGCCGGAGGAGGAGCUCAGCGAGCAGGAGGAGCCCGCCUCGCCGACUGUGGAGCUCAGCGAGCGGGAGGAGCCCGCCUCGCCGACUGUGGAGCUCAGCGAGCCGGCGGAGCUCAGCGAGCGGAGGGAGCCCGCACCACCUGAGGAGGAGCUCUGUGAGCCGGAGCCGGAAUUCGGCGAGCGGGAGGAGCGGCUACCGUCAAGAGAGGGGCCCGGCGGGCCGGAGAAGCGCGCACCGCCUGAGCUGGAGCUGCAGGGGCCGGAGCUGCAGCAGAGGCGAGCAGGAGCUCGGCGAGCAAGAGGAGUGCCCGCCAUCGAGAGAGGGGCUCGGCAGGCCGGAGGAGCGCGCACAGCCAUCGGAGGUCGGCGGGCGGGAGGAAUCCGAUCAGUCUACGCGGGGGGUCAGUGUGCAGGGUCCACGUCCAGCGCGCCCUCCACGCCGUCCACGUCCAGCGCGCCCUCCACGCCGUCCACGUCCAGCGCGCCGGGCGUCAUGGGCUGUUCUACUCUGUCGCCCGCCAGAGCUGCAACACUGCUGCUACCGGAUCCGUGGCCGCCCGCCGGAGCUGCAGCGCCGCAACCACUGGACGCCUGGCAGGCCACCAGAGAUGCAGCACCGCCGCCACUGGAUCAGUGGCAGGCCCCCAGAACUGUUUCGUCGCUGCUGCUGGACCCAUGGCCGUCCGCCGGAGAUCCAGCGUUUCCACCGAUGGACUGAAGGUAGGCCUCCUGAACGGUCGUCGGCCUCUGCCUAUCCAUAGCAGGUUUCACCUGUUUUGCUGUCCACCGGGUCAGCCGCCAGAACUAUGUUUGCUGCCAUUAGGGCGGGGGGUUGGCCUGAUGAACUGAGUUUUUUCGUUUUUGUUGUUUAGUGGUGUGGUUCGGAGGGGUUUUGGGGCCCUCCGUCCUGGCCCCCCGCCGCCCGCCCUGGGGUGGUUUUCCUGUUUUUUGCUUUUUGUUUCGGGUCGUCGGGAGCCGACCCUUAGGGGGGGUACUGUCACGGACCCGGCUCUGGAGGACUCGGGGGUCCGUGAGCAGUUAUGGACUGUUGUUGUUAUUAUUAUUAUUAAGGGGCUGUGUCGUCUACUGUUCGGCCCACAGUUGAAUGUGUAGUGUGUGUUUGCGUGUGGGUUUGCUUCUCCCUCUCUCUCCCCGGUCCUCGGGCUGUUUACAGAAGUGCACGCUGUGGGAGAGGCGUGUCCUGGCGACUGUCGUCAUUGGGAGUCCCUCUUCACUGUUACCGGCCCACCUGCAGCUGAUUACCUGACCAGCUGUUGGUAAUCAUCCAUCCCGGCUGGAGAGAGGUAUUUAACCUGGACUCGCGGCGACAGUCGACGUGGGAUUAUUACUCCGAACUGGAUAGCCGAGCGGAGAAGCGAGUUGGGGAGCACACGCACUAAGGGAGCUAUAGCACGGGACGCACUGGGAGCAGGAGACGAGCACCAUUGGCAAAUUGCACCUUUGGGUUAAUUGUUGGACUUACCUGUCUGUUCACUGUAAAUAAAGUGCACUGUGGCAUCGAAGAGUCCCGCGUUUUGGGUCCUACUUUC